rnacentral:lncRNA from 1 species
AUGCUCAAAAUUCUCCAAGCCAGGCUUCAGCAAUACGUGAACCGCGAACUCCCUGAUGUUCAAGCUGGCUUUAGAAAAGGCAGAGGAACCAGAGAUCAAAUUGCCAACAUCCGCUGGAUCAUGGAAAAAGCAAGAGAGUUCCAGGAAAACAUCUAUUUCUGCUUUAUUGACUAUGCCAAAGCCUUUGACUGUGUGGAUCACAAUAAACUGUGGAAAAUUCCGAAAGAGAUGGGAAUACCAGACCACCUGACCUGCCUCUUGAGAAAUCUGUACGCAGGUCAGGAAGCCACAGUUAGAACUGGACAUGGAACAACAGACUGGUUCCAAAUAGGAAAAGGAGUACGUCAAGGCUGUAUAUUGUCACCCUGCUUAUUUAACUUCUAUGCAGAGUACAUCAUGAGAAACGCUGGGUUGGAAGAAGCACAAGCUGGAAUCAAGAUUGCUGGGAGAAAUAUCCAUAACCUCAGAUAUGCAAAUGACACCACCCUUAUGGCAGAAAGUGAAGAGGAACUACAAAGCCUCUUGAUGAAAGUGAAAGAGGAGAGUGAAAAAGUUGGCUUAAAGCUCAACAUUCAGAAAAUGAAGAUCAUGGCAUCUGGUCCCAUCACUUCAUGGGAAAUAGAUGGGGAAACAGUAGAAACAGUGUCAGACUUAAUUUUUUUGGGCUCCAAAAUCACUGCAGAUGGUGAUUGCAGUCAUGAAAUUAAAAGACGCUUACUCCUUGGAAGAAAAGUUAUGACCAAUCUAGAUAGCAUAUUCAAAAGCAGAGACAUUACUUUGCCGACUAAGGUCCAUCUAGUCAAGGCUAUGGUUUUUCCUGUGGUCAUGUAUGGAUGUGAGAGUUGGACUGUGAAGAAGGCUGAGUGCCGAAGAAUUGAUGCUUUUGAACUGUGGUAUUGGAGAAGACUCUUGAGAGUCCCUUGGACUGCAAGGAGAUCCAACCAGUCCAUUCUGAAGGAGAUCAACCCUGGGAUUUCUUUGGAAGGAAUGAUGCUAAAGCUGAAGCUCCAGUACUUUGGCCACCUCAUGCGAAGAGUUGACUCAUUGGAAAAGACUCUGAUGCUGGGAGGGAUUGGGGGCAGGAGGAGAAGGGGACGACAGAGGAUGAUAUGGCUGGAUGGCAUCACGGACUUGAUGGAUGUGAGUCUGAGUGAACUCCGGGAGUUGGUGAUGGACAGGGAGGCCUGGCGUGUUGCGAUUCAUGGGGUCGCAAAGAGUCGGACACGACUGAGCGACUGA